UACGUAGGGUGCAAGCGUUGUCCGGAAUUAUUGGGCGUAAAGAGCUCGUAGGCGGUCUGUCACGUCGGCUGUGAAAUCCCGAGGCUCAACCUCGGGCCUGCAGUCGAUACGGGCAGACUAGAGUUCGGUAGGGGAGACUGGAAUUCCUGGUGUAGCGGUGAAAUGCGCAGAAUAUCAGGAGGAACACCGGUGGCGAAGGCGGGUCUCUGGGCCGAAACUGACGCUGAGGAGCGAAAGCGUGGGGAGCGAACAGG
rnacentral:rRNA from 1 species